GUUCCCUGUGAACAUCAGUCUCGUAUCAACAGUUACAUGCAGAUACCUUUGCGGCCAACACAUUACUGUCUAUUUCAAUGCCAGGAAAGCAGUAAAAUCGUAUGUGACACCAUAGACAUUCCCACAUGGUUGUCGCCAGAUGUGGCAGACCUUGUCUGGAACCUCCUGGACAAGAAACCACAUUGCAGACUUGGCGCACUGGACAUCAAGUGGCAUCCAUUCUUUGAUGGACUGAAAUGGGGUGACGUGAUGGCAAAGAAAUACCAGAUGCCGCGCCCCCCACCACGACGACCAGUCGGCUCUAUUGCGUCCAGUCAGAUAAGAGACAGUAUCUUCAACCGGAGUGAAGACAAUUACGAGGUUACGGCUGGACAUGGCAGCUGAAGGGAAGUCGGGUAGCAACCAGCACCCGCAAACCUACAAAUAUUGGGGGAGGGCAUUCACGUAAUUCUGUAUUAAAUGAGGGAAUGGUUUCCCAAUUGGUGUUGAAGGUGUGGCUGCCAUCAAGUAUGGACACACUUGGGCGUAUGUCUGUGUAACUUUAAUAUUGUCUUCUGAAAGAUUAAUUUGUAUUCUUGUUUUGUAUUACAGUUUUUGUCAUUCUUGCUUUUAUCAAUUUUUAAUAUUAAAUUCAAAUUGAUUGAGAUUUAAUUGAUUGUGUAUGUUCUACUGCCUACAAGUUCAAUGUUCCUUGGUUUCCCCAAUUCUAUCUCGGGGCGUAGAAUACACGAGCAACCGAGUCAGCAAGUAUCGGUUCAACAUGUCCCUGUAAUUCAUUUUGCAGGUAUGCACAUAUGUUGCGCCCGUACUUAUACCAAAUUAGACAAAUGACAGAGUCAUCCAAUAGCGGCACCCAAGAUCAAUUCAAGAAAUGGACGACAUUGAAGUUGCGUUCUUCAUUGGAGAAAUAAUGACAAUACCAUUUUAGAAUAGUUAAGCACUUAAAUAGUUAAAUUGUUUUCACUUAAAUGUUUAAAUUAUUUUUAGAAAAUAAGUUAAAUACUUUAUUUGUUAAAUUGUUUUUAGCUCACGCAUUAUAUAUUAAGAAUAAAAAAAACAAAAAUGUUCAUAUAUUUUGCUCCAGGUGUCUCCAUACUUGUUACUAAUAAUUCCACUUCCUGUUCUUAUCCAAAUGUUUAUUUCCUUUCCAGAUACCAGAAAUGGGCGACGUGGUGUUUGCGUCCUUCAUUGUAGAAAUAAUGAAUCUGCCCCUUUAGUUAUGUAGUUUGUAUUUAAAAGGUUAAAUAGGUUUAGUUAAAUAGAUGAAUUCCUUUAAUUAAGUAGUUACUUUGUUUUAAUUAAACAGUUAAAGUUUUAUUUAAACAGUUAAAGUUCACAUAUUGUAUAUUUAAGAAUAAAAAUAACAAAACGUAA